rnacentral:lncRNA from 1 species
CUCUUUGGUUGGCAGCCUGGAGUCUGGAGUGCAGGUGCCGGGCAGGCAGCACUGGGAGCGCUCGGCGACUUGGCUGGAGGCCGAAGGUGCCGCCCCUCGGGGACCAGAGCGUCUUUGCAAGGCAUUGUGAAGACCCUGUUUCUCUAGCUGUGCAGCUGCAAGGUCACUAGACAGAUAAACUCAAGUCGUAAAACAUGUUUUUCCUUGAAAAGUAAGAAAUGAUGUAAUGCAUGUCUCAAUUAAAGAACUGUUUUUGUUUCUCGCUUCUGUAAUAUGCUUCCCUCUGCACAGAUCUCCCCCUGCCCCACAAAAUGCUUAAAAGGUAACCUGACUCUUUGUUUGGGGCUCAGUCUUUUUUGGAUGUUAAUCUGACUGGGCCAGUUCACCUAAAUAAUAAUAAUAAUAAUAAUAAAUCCUCCUCAACCCCUC